rnacentral:rRNA from 1 species
GACGAACGCUGGCGGCGUGCUUAACACAUGCAAGUCGAACGGAAAGGCCCUGCUUUUGUGGGGUGCUCGAGUGGCGAACGGGUGAGUAACACGUGAGUAACCUGCCCUUGACUUUGGGAUAACUUCAGGAAACUGGGGCUAAUACCGGAUAGGAGCUCCUGCUGCAUGGUGGGGGUUGGAAAGUUUCGGCGGUUGGGGAUGGACUCGCGGCUUAUCAGCUUGUUGGUGGGGUAGUGGCUUACCAAGGCUUUGACGGGUAGCCGGCCUGAGAGGGUGACCGGCCACAUUGGGACUGAGAUACGGCCAAGACUCCUACGGGAGGAAGCAGUGGGGAAUAUUGCACAAUGGGCGGAAGCCUGAUGCAGCAACGCCGCGUGCGGGAUGACGGCCUUCGGGUUGUAAACCGCUUUCGCCUGUGACGAAGAGUGAGUGACGGUAAUGGGUAAAGAAGCACCGGCUAACUACGUG